CAAGGGGUGAUCCUUGGGAGAGAAGAAGCAACAGCGAAGUCGUGGCCUGACGAAUAGAAACCUAAUACAAAGGCGUAUCAAGCGGACAAGCUGGCAAAAGGACAGUGAAGUCCCAAAAGGCAACCGUAACCUUGAUGCGCAAUUUAGGCAGGUAAGCGAUGAAAGAUGUAUGA
rfam:Bacteroidales bacterium KA00251 genomic scaffold Scaffold485, whole genome shotgun sequence.